UGGGGAAUAUUGCACAAUGGGCGCAAGCCUGAUGCAGCCAUGCCGCGUGUAUGAAGAAGGCCUUCGGGUUGUAAAGUACUUUCAGCGGGGAGGAAGGGAGUAAAGUUAAUACCUUUGCUCAUUGACGUUACCCGCAGAAGAAGCACCGGCUAACUCCGUGCCAGCAGCCGCGGUAAUACGGAGGGGGCAAGCGUUAAUCGGAAUUACUGGGCGUAAAGCGCACGCAGGCGGUUUGUUAAGUCAGAUGUGAAAUCCCCGGGCUCAACCUGGGAACUGCAUCUGAAACUGGCAAGCUUGAGUAUCGUAGAGGGGGGUAGAAUUCCAGGUGUAGCGAUGAAAUGCGUAGAGAUCUGGAGGAAUACCGGGGGCGAAGGCGGCCCCCUGGACGAAGACUAACGCUCAGGGGCGAAAGCGUGGGGAGCAAACAGG
rnacentral:rRNA from 1 species